rnacentral:rRNA from 1 species
UGGGGAAUAUUGCACAAUGGGCGCAAGCCUGAUGCAGCCAUGCCGCGUGUGUGAAGAAGGCCUUCGGGUUGUAAAGCACUUUCAGCGGGGAGGAAGGCGUUAAGGUUAAUAACCUUGGCGAUUGACGUUACCCGCAGAAGAAGCACCGGCUAACUCCGUGCCAGCAGCCGCGGUAAUACGGAGGGUGCAAGCGUUAAUCGGAAUUACUGGGCGUAAAGCGAACGCAGGCGGUCUGUCAAGUCGGAUGUGAAAUCCCCGGGCUCAACCUGGGAACUGCAUUCGAAACGGGCAGGCUAGAGUCUUGUAGAGGGGGGUAGAAUUCCAGGUGUAGCGGUGAAAUGCGUAGAGAUCUGGAGGAAUACCGGUGGCGAAGGCGGCACCCUGGACAAAGACUGACGCUCAGGUGCGAAAGCGUGGGGAGCAAACAGG